rnacentral:rRNA from 1 species
UACGUAGGGUGCGAGCGUUAAUCGGAUUUACUGGGCGUAAAGCGUGCGCAGGCGGCCCGUUAAGACAGGUGUGAAAUCCCUGGGCUCAACCUAGGAAUUGCGCUUGUGACUGGCGGGCUCGAGUACGGUAGAGGGGGGUGGAAUUCCUGGUGUAGCAGUGAAAUGCGUAGAGAUCAGGAGGAACACCGAUGGCGAAGGCAGCCCCCUGGGCCUGUACUGACGCUCAUGCUCGAAAGCGUGGGGAGCAAACAGG